AACAACUGAGAAGUACACUCUGCAGCUCAAGGCAUUGCUUCCUAUGAAACAUCCAGAACUGACAUGGAGCGUUUUAAAGAAAUCUUCUGUAACACGAAAAUCAAACUACAUGAAAUCACAGAUGGAAUGGAAUUGUUUUGGAAAACUGGGCAUAAAAAUCGGCCUCCUUCUUUCUCAGCCUUUCCUCUUCAGCUAAUCAGCCAUGCACCUCAAAGUGACAGCUCCUUGCAGUGUGUGGUUGAUGGCUGACGCAGUAGGUGCAUAAUGUUGAACGCGGUAUUUUGAAGUUCGAUAUCGACUGGGGAGAGCAAUGAGGAAGUUAUGUCUGUUGUUAAUAUGUCCUUGAGUCUAUCUACCAUGUCUUAGGUUAAGAAGGCUAACUCACUGCAAACUUAGUUAGGUCUUCUUUGCUCUGUCAGAAGCUUAAGCAGAUACCUAACUGAAGUAACUUUAUAGACUUAUCUAUUUCUUAAUUAAAAAAUUAUACAUUUGUAUAUAAUACUAGUAAAUGAGUAUAA